rnacentral:misc_RNA from 1 species
UCUCCGUUGGUGAACCAGCGGAGGGAUCAUUACAGAGUUGCAAAACUCCCAAACCAUUGUGAACGUUACCUAUCCCGUUGCUCCGGCGGGCGGCCCGGGCCCCGCGCCCGGCGCCCCCCGGCCCCCCGUGGGCGCCCGCCGGAGGUAAACCAAACCCUUGAAUUGCAUGGCCUCUCUGAGUCUUUUGUACUGAAUAAGUCAAAACUUUCAACAACGGAUCUCUUGGUUCUG